rnacentral:rRNA from 1 species
CCUACGGGGGGCUGCAGUGAGGAAUAUUGGUCAAUGGCCGAGAGGCUGACCCAGCCAAGUCGCGUGAGGGAUGACGGCCCUACGGGUUGUAAACCUCUUUUGUCGGGGAGAAAAGAGAGUCACGUGUGGAUCAUUGAGCGUACCCGAAGUAAAAGCAUCGGCUAACUCCGAGCCAGCAGCCGCGGUAAUACGGGGGAUGCGAGCGUUAUACGGAUUUAUUGGGUUUAAAGGGUGCGCAGGCGGAGGUGCAAGUCAGUGGUCAAAUUGCGGGGCUCAACCCCGUACUGCCGUUGAAACUGCAUCCCUUGAGUGCGCGAGAAGUAUGCGGAAUGCGUGGUGUAGCGGUGAAAUGCAUAGAUAUCACGCAGAACUCCGAUUGCGAAGGCAGCAUACCGGCGCGCAACUGACGCUCAUGCACGAAAGCGUGGGUAUCGAACAGGAUUAGAUACCCUGGUAGUC